rnacentral:sRNA from 1 species
GCCGUGCGUGGUGGCGCAUGCCUGUAAUCCCAGCUACUCAGGAGGCUGAGGCAGGAGAAUUGCUUGAACCCAGGAGGCAGAGGUUGCAGUGAGCUGAGAUCAUGCCACUGCACUCCAGCCUGGGUGACAGAGCAAGACUCAGUCUCAA